rnacentral:rRNA from 1 species
UACGAAGGGGGCUAGCGUUGCUCGGAAUCACUGGGCGUAAAGGGCGCGUAGGCGGCUAUUCAAGUCAGGGGUGAAAGCUUGAGGCUCAACCUCAGAAUUGCCUUUGAUACUGUUUAGCUAGAGACCGGAAGAGGUAAGUGGAACUGCGAGUGUAGAGGUGAAAUUCGUAGAUAUUCGCAAGAACACCAGUGGCGAAGGCGGCUUACUGGUCCGGUUCUGACGCUGAGGCGCGAAAGCGUGGGGAGCAAACAGG